rnacentral:rRNA from 1 species
UACAGAGGUCCCAAGCGUUGUUCGGAUUCACUGGGCGUAAAGGGUGCGUAGGUGGCCAGGUAAGUUUGGUGUGAAAGCUCGGAGCUUAACUCCGAAAAGUCAUUGAAUACUAUCUGGCUGGAGGGUCGGAGGGGAGACUGGAAUUCUCGGUGUAGCAGUGAAAUGCGUAGAUAUCGAGAGGAACACCAGUGGCGAAGGCGAGUCUCUGGACGACUCCUGACACUGAGGCACGGAAGCUAGGGGAGCAAACAGG